AAUUAUAUGCAUUUAUGUUCUCUUGUAGAAAUAAAUGGUGUUAUUUUUUGGUGAUAUAUAUUCACUUGUUGUCAUGUUGAAAGAGAUUACUUGUCGGCUAUUAUUCAUCAUUAUUUGCAUUCCGUUAUACGGUUUGUUUCGUUUAUCUAUUAUCUACACACUUGGCGGCAAAAAAUACGAGAAGUCCGUGCAUGUAUUUGCCACGCCCUUGAACCAGUUUGCUAGCUGAAAUCGUCCGAACAACAUCGAUAGAAAAAUUGCUGUAUAAAAGUUACCUUGUAGUAUGAAUUUAAGCUGUUACGUUAGUUGGAUGGAAUUCUAGAGAAAGAAUGGUUACUGGGACACGAAAGGAAGAUAAGUUUUAUAUAUUUUUGUUAUUGUCGUGCAUAACAAAGCUUGAUUUAGAACAAUAUUCAGCUUAUAAUAAACAUUCAUUCAAAUUCUCCAGCUCUGUGCACAUGUGUAUUUGUUAAUAGUUGGACAAUUAUCAUGUCACAAAAGCUUAAUUUAAGGUAAUUUGAGAUAACUGAAAGUACGGACAAUGAUGAUAAUAUUGAUAAAAUCGGUAUCAAAAUGUUCAGUUUUGUCAGUGUGAUGUGGGGUGGUGACAGGUAUUGUAGAUAAUUAUGACGAUAUGCAAUGAUAUGUAUCUAGUAUGAUAAUGUUAUUAUGGUGUUGAUGAUGCUGAUGAUGAUGACGGUAUGGUGGAUAUUAUGAUAUUAUGACGAUAUGACAAUAAUGUUGUUCAUAAUGAUGAUGUUUAUGCUAUUAUGAUAAUAUGGUGAUAUUCAGUUUGUGUUUAAAUGAUCAUAACGAUAUGAUGAUGAUGAUGGUAAGAUGAUGAUUUGGUGACAAUAUGGCGUUGAUAGCGAUUAAAUUACGAUCAUAAAUAUGAAAUAGUUAUGAUUAAUGAUGAUGAUAAUGAUAUAACAUGAUGAUGAUAUGACGAUACAAUAAUGCUGAGAGGAAAAUGAUUACCAUGAUGGUACGUUAUAAGAAUAACAUGAUAUGAUAUUACACGAUAAUAUGUUUUGAUUACGAUGAUGAUAUGGUAUAACGAAUCAGUUAUGAUCUUUGUGAUGGCAUGAUAAUGAUGGCAAUAAUGAUUGUGAUAUUACUAAAUGAUAAUGAUAUGAAAUCAUGUUGGUACAUUAUAGUACUUUAAGGACGAUGAUGAUGUCGUUGAUGGUAAAGAUGACAAUGGUGAUAAUAUUCUGACGAUGAUAAGACAAUAAUGGCGAUGAUGAUGUCGUUGAUGAUGUUGACAAUUACUUAUCUCAAUAAUUAUGAAAAUGUUCCACAUUACUAAUUCGUUUUAAUAUAUUGUAAUAAUUAAGUAUUUCAGUUUGCUAGCAAUACUCCAACAUUAGGGGGAAACAUCAGGUAAAAUGAAUCAAAGGUAAAAGUACAAGAGAACAUGUCGUCUAGUUUCAGCUACAAAUAUAAAGGUAACGGUUAUGGUAAAACAGAAUACAGAUUGAACGUCAUUAUAAAUGGUAAAAAAGUAUCUUGUUUACGUCUUAAAUUAGCGAAGGUGAGUUAUUUCUUUUAUUUACCCUAAUGUAAUGCAGCGUUCUGUGUUUUGAUUGGACGAAUUUUAUUUCAUAAAAUAUUUAGUGGCCCUCAAUACACAUGUGUCCGUAUGUGCAUUUCGGUAUGGCAUAUAGCAAUUUAUGAACUGAGGUGAACAUUGAGCAAUUCGCCUCACUUUCUCAUCGGCUGUGAAUGGAGAAAUCUCUGCCAUUUGCCAAUUUCUUCAUGGUCAGUCUAUAAAAUAGGCUUCUGCCACUUUGCGUUGCCUGUAAGUUGCUAUGCCAUUUAGCUAGUGAUUGUUCUUGUGUUCAUAUUCAUUUCUUAAAAUUUAAACAUGCUAUAUGCCAUGAUAUCAAUGAAAUAAAGUCGCGGCCAUUUCCCAUCUA
rnacentral:lncRNA from 1 species